UCACAGGUGCAAGAAUGUUUUGAAAGGUCUAGAAUUGCACCAGUUAAGGAUGCCUAUACUUAAUGGAAGCCCUUACACUUGGUGGGUUGGCAAAGCCAAC
rnacentral:sRNA from 1 species